rnacentral:rRNA from 1 species
GACGAACGCUGGCGGCGUGCCUAAUACAUGCAAGUCGAGCGGACGAAUCGAAAUCGGGCUUUUGAUUCGUUGGCGGCGGACGGGUGAUUAACACGUGGGCAACCUGCCCUGGGGGCGGGGAUAACACCAAGAGAUCUAUUCUCGUACCCGAUAAGACGGAAUGUCGCGGGACGCUUCGUUCCACGCCGUCGCAGGCUGUCGCAAGACGGAUUGCCGGCGGCGCAUUAGCUAGUUGGUGGGGUAACGGCUCACCAAGGCGACGAUGCGUAGCCGACCUGAGAGGGUGACCGGCCACACUGGGACUGAGACACGGCCCAGACUCCUACGGGAGGCAGCAGUAGGGAAUCUUCGGCAAUGGACGAAAGUCUGACCCAGCAACGCCGCGUGAGCGAAGAAGGCCUUCGGGUCGUAAAGCUCUGUUGUUAGGGAAGAACAAGACACGCCGUAACCGGCGUUACGGUGACGGUACCUAACGAGUAAGCACCGGCUAACUACGUG